UGGAAAUCACUGGCAAGUUGGAGAGAGAUAGAGGCUCCAGGAGCCGCAUGGAGAUGCCCUGAUGAGGGUGUUUGAAUUGUGGCAUAACAAGCCGCCCAAUGACUACAUGUGCCUGUCAAUUUUGGCCUUCUUGCUGUGUUUCCCCAUCGGCAUUAUAGCAUUGAUCUUCUCUCUCCAGACGAGGCUCCUGAACAGAUGGAAUGACCGAAUGUCAGCAGUGGAGACCUCCCACCAAGCCUACUACAUCGCAAUCACUGGGGUUAUCCUAGGAAGCAUCAUCAUACUCACCUUCACGAUUUACAUCACAGUAGAGUUUUUGUCUCGGUAACUUCUCUCCAACUAAUGAACAAACCAUCAAAUACAUACAACUGUGUGCUCCUUACCUAGACUGUAAGUAUACAUUUGGGCCAGUUGGGAUACCUGCUCCUUGAUGUCUGGAGUGCCAGGUGUUACCACCUGAGCCACCCCCCUGAUGUCACUGAUGGGGGAAGGAAGGGAUAGCUCAGGGAGCCCACUGGAUCAGAGCUCAAGACCAACCUGCAAACCCUCCACGAAACGGGCUCCCAAGGAGACAUGCUAGGAUUCUGCUUCCCGGGGCAGAUUCCCCUCCUUUUCACUCCUAGUUUCAUGACACAAAUCUACUAUGUCGACAAAAGGUUUUGACUGCGCUGCCUGACUCUGGGGACAUGGCAGUUACCACUUCAGACCCAACCCUAUCCCUUUAUAAAGCAGAGAGCAAGACAGACAGUGAUGGUUGAAAGUGAUCCAGUCAAAUGCAGCAAACACAGGGAAGUGAGUUGUAAAAGGCCAGACUAAUCUAGGUUCGUGUGAUCCAUCAGAAAGCCAGAGAGUCAUUAGCUGUCAGAGAACUGGUUAGAAUUCAAGUCAGGUUAUGAUUAUAGAGCUUCUAUAAGCAGUUAUGGUUGUUUUCUGUCCCCCACUCACCCACCAAGCUUGAGAUUUAUUCAUCAUUCAACAAUACUUCCUGAGCACUUAUGAUGCACCAGACACUCAGCUAAGAAUUAGGAGGGCGACAGAGCAAAAUAAUAAGACCCCUUCUAAUGGACCUUACAUUUUAGUAGUGGGAAAAAAAACCUGUUCAAACAGACCUCAAAAUAAACAAAAUAAUUUCAAGUGAAUGCAAUAGAGAAAAUAAAUAGGGUGAUGAGUGAAACCAGUGCCAGUGCUAAUGGUUGAUAUCAUGGUUAGUGGUUAACAAUGCCACCACUGUUAAUGGUCUACAAGAAGUUAAGAGAAGAAACUGUCAGUGUUUUGCAAUUUACAGCAAUUUGACAUGCCAUUGCCAUUGCCAUGACAUCCAAGCAUAUGAACAAAAGACUUGUCUUGCUCAGCAGAGUAGAAACCAAAAUGAUCUAUCCUUACAGAUUAGGGAGAUCAAAAAAAAAAAAAUGGGUCCUACUGGAGACCCGCAAAUAGUCUGAGAUGCCCUGGGUGGUGGGCAAUGAGGAAGAUAUAUUGUAUAUUUCAGCAGCUAAAAAAACAGAUGUUUAUUUCACACCCACGGAACCUUAUAAUGUGGGUGUUUUUGGUGGUCUGUGUAUUAAGUCAGAGAUUCAGGCACCCUCUGCUUGGUGAUGAUGCCUCUUCUAAGAACCCAGAGUCCUUUGAAUCCAGGCAUACAAAGAAUGGAGAAGCCCAAUUUGCAUCUUAAAAGUCUUGGCCUGAAAGUGAGCUUUUGUGCUCUGUUGGUGGGAAGGCGAAUAGGUACCACCACUGUGGUUCUUCAUCAACAAAUUAAAAUUACUAUAUGAUUCCACAGUUCCACUUCCGAGUAUACACACAAAGAAAAUUAAAUCAUCGCUGGCUACUCAUGGUAAUAAAGAAGGUUUCAUACCUGAAAUUAGUGUGGUAUAAGUUUAAGACUGCACUUCUACCUGGGCCCAGCACGAUCCUCGGCCCCCAUUCCUCAUCCUGCUCCCACUUCUUCCCUGGAUUCCCAGCUUUAAUCUCACCCACCACUUCCUUUCCCCCAUUUGGUUAUUCAACAUCUGUUUAGAGAGUCAGACUCUGUCUUGGACACCAAGGGCAGAGUGGUGAGCUAUGCAACCUUGUUGAAUUAAAGGUCCCUGAAUGUGGCCAGUUCUU